AUAUUGACACGGCUCAAUCA
rnacentral:snRNA from 1 species